rnacentral:rRNA from 1 species
CAGCACCUCAAGUGGUCAGGAUGAUUAUUGGGCCUAAAGCAUCCGUAGCCGGCUCUGUAAGUUUUCGGUUAAAUCUGUACGCUCAACGUACAGGCUGCCGGGAAUACUGCAGAGCUAGGGAGUGGGAGAGGUAGACGGUACUCGGUAGGAAGGGGUAAAAUCCUUUGAUCUAUUGAUGACCACCUGUGGCGAAGGCGGUCUACCAGAACACGUCCGACGGUGAGGGAUGAAAGCUGGGGGAGCAAACCGGAUUAGAGACCCGUGUAGUCC